CUCACGGACCGUGGCCUGGGGGUUGGGGACCGCUGCCUUACAGCAUAGCAGCAUAGGAUCAAUGGAUCAGUCGUGGAUUCAGCAAAAGGUUUAAGUUUCUUCUUCAUAUGGCUAUUCUUCUGUAGUCUUUUUUAAAUUAAUUUAUUUUCUUUGUUUUCUGAUAUUUAUUUUUUUCAAUGCAUUUCUUAAAUAAAUUACUAAAAUGUUUUUUACAGAUAAAAGGAAGCCUCAGAUCAUUGGAAAUACAACCGUUAAACUGGGAGAUGUUCUGAAUCUGACCUGCAGUGUUGAAAGUUUCCCCCCAGCUCUUAUAGUCUGGAGAAGUACCACCACAAUCCUUCUGACUAAAACUUAUCCUGAUCUGCACAAUGACACUGGAUCAGCUACACUUGUCAUUCAGAAUGUGAUAGCAGAACAUUCUGGACAGUACAUCUGUGCAACCAAAUAUCUGCACACAACUGUGACUUCAUAUGUCAAUGUGACCGUGACAUGGUUUUCAAAAAUAGUGAAUGGCUCUGGAUGUGUGCUUCAGGCAGAGGUUUUGACCUGUGUGUGUCUCAGUGAAGGGUUUCCUUUACCGACUGUCAAUUGGCCAUUUCUGAAGAACCGCACUGAUUACUCUGCCCUUACCACUGUGUCAAACCACACAGUAAACAGCACAGUCAGUUUAACUGUGAAAAACAAUGGCAACACUACUUUUGAAUGUAUCAGCAACAAUGGAAUGGGGGAAGCAAAAGAAAGUCUCACAAUCCAAAAAAACUUGCCAGACAAUAAUAUUUUUAGGCUGGAAUACGUGAACGUCAUCAUUGUCUUUUUCACUGGGGCAGUUCUUGCAACAAUCAUUUGCUUUUUAGCUAAAAAUUGCUACAGAAAAAAUCAGAACAUUCAAAAAUUGAGAAAUUCAGAUGAGAUUUUGGAGAUGGAGACACAUCAAAAUAAACUGGUAUUAAUUCAUCAGACAUUUUUUGAUUUACUUGUCAAAAUAUGAGUUUCUGCACAAAUUUUGAUAUCUUUGAAGCAUCCAUAGUUUACUUGUUUACAUUUUACUGUAAGUUCCUACAUAAAGGUUCUGAAAGAAAGUAGUUCAGAUUAAGAUUAGCCUUAAUAAUAAGAUUAUUUAGAUUUUUUAAUUAACUCCUUGUAUACAGUGGUGUGAAAAAGUGGUUGCCCCAUCCUAGUUUCCUAUUUUAUUUGUAUGUUUGUCACACUUAAAUAUUUCAGAUCAUAAAACAACUUUAGAUAUUAGACAAAGAAAAAAGUCAACACAAAAGGCAGUUUACUUAGGCCACUCCUAAGUCUUCAGUUUGUUUUUCCUAAGCCAUUCAGAGGUGGACUUGCUGGUGAGUUUUGGAUCACUGGCAAAACAGUUUUUUUCCCCUUUAUGCUCAUUUACUCAACACUGGUUUUCAUCUUGGAACUCUCCCAUGGAUGCCAUUUUUGCCCAUUUUUGCUUAUGGUGGCGUCACGCACACUGGCCUUAACUGAGGCAAGUGAGGCCUGCAGUUCUUUGGAUGUUGUUCUGGGGUCUUUUGUGACCUCUUGAAUGAGUUUUCACAAUGUUUUUAGGUUUUAGGGCAAUUUUGGUUGGCGGGCCACUCCAGAUCACCACUAUUCCAUGUUUUUGCCAUUUGUGGAUAAUGCCUCUCACUGUGGUUCGCGUGGAUUCCCACAGAUUUAGAAAUGUCUUUAGAACCUUUUCCAGACUGAUACAUCUCAAUUACCUUGUUUCUUAUUUGUUGUUGACUUUCUUUGUAUUGCAACAUGAUUUUGAGGCCUACUCAACUUUGUCAUGCAGGUCCUAUUUAGAGUAAGUGAUUUCUUGAUUGAAAAUGGGUGUGGCAGUAAUCAGGCAUGGGUGCGGCGAGAGAAAUUAAACUCCGCUUUCCAAAGAUGAGAUACACCACCAUAACUUUUUUACACAGGGCCAUGCAGCUUCGGAUUUUUUUUUUAAGCUUCAGUUCUUUCAUCAAGCUGAUUGAUAAAAAGAAAAAUAACCCAGAAUGAAACAAUGUAAAUGUACAAGACAGACAAGAUGAGUCUCUCUUCCUUUGUUUUUAACAGGUAUAUAAUAGUCAAGCAUUACAAGACACUCAGACCCUGAGCUCAAACAGUGGGCCAAAGGAGGUGGAGUAUGCCAAUAUAGAUUUUUCCCUGCUGAAAAGAAACAGUGGCAGGGAGGCAGCAAGGAAGCAAGAGAGCACAAAGACAGACUAUGCUGAAAUUAAGAAAGUGGUCAAAGAACAAUGGGGAGAUGAUGCUGGGGAGGAAGGAGACAUAUUGGAGGGCCAAGAGAAGAAUGUGAUAAUGGAGUUGAAACACUGUGAACCAGAAAGGGUAGAAGGGCGAAAUGAGGCAGUGAAUGAAACGUGAAUGUUAUAACUAGAGAUGGACCGAUCCGAUAUUACGUAUCAGUAUCGGUCCGAUACUGACCUAAAUUACUGGAUCGGAUAUCGGCGAGAAAUAAAAAAUGUAAUCCGAUCCAUUA